rnacentral:rRNA from 1 species
UACGUAGGUGGCAAGCGUUACUCGGAAUCACUAGGCGUAAAGCGCAGGUAGGCGGUUCGGUAAGUCUCUUGUGAAAGCUCCCGGCUUAACUGGGAGAGGUCAAGGGAAACUGUCGGGCUAGAGUGUGGCAGAGGAUGCUGGAAUUCCCGGUGUAGCGGUGAAAUGCGUAGAUAUCAGGAGGAACACCCAUGGCGAAGGCAGCAAACUGGGCCACAUCUGACGCUGAGGCGCGAAAGCGUGGGUAGCAAACAGG